GUGACUGCGUACCUUUUGUAUAAUGGGUCAGCGACUUAUAUUCUGUAGCAAGGUUAACCGAAUAGGGGAGCCGAAGGGAAACCGAGUCUUAACUGGGCGUUAAGUUGCAGGGUAUAGACCCGAAACCCGGUGAUCUAGCCAUGGGCAGGUUGAAGGUUGGGUAACACUAACUGGAGGACCGAACCGACUAAUGUUGAAAAAUUAGCGGAUGACUUGUGGCUGGGGGUGAAAGGCCAAUCAAACCGGGAGAUAGCUGGUUCUCCCCGAAAGCUAUUUAGGUAGCGCCUCGUGAAUUCAUCUCCGGGGGUAGAGCACUGUUUCGGCAAGGGGGUCAUCCCGACUUACCAACCCGAUGCAAACUGCGAAUACCGGAGAAUGUUAUCACGGGAGACACACGGCGGGUGCUAACGUCCGUCGUGAAGAGGGAAACAACCCAGACCGCCAGCUAAGGUCCCAAAGUCAUGGUUAAGUGGGAAACGAUGUGGGAAGGCCCAGACAGCCAGGAUGUUGGCUUAGAAGCAGCCAUCAUUUAAAGAAAGCGUAAUAGCUCACUGGUCGAGUCGGCCUGCGCGGAAGAUGUAACGGGGCUAAACCAUGCACCGAAGCUGCGGCAGCGACACUAUGUGUUGUUGGGUAGGGGAGCGUUCUGUAAGCCUGUGAAGGUGUACUGUGAGGUAUGCUGGAGGUAUCAGAAGUGCGAAUGCUGACAUAAGUAACGAUAAAGCGGGUGAAAAGCCCGCUCGCCGGAAGACCAAGGGUUCCUGUCCAACGUUAAUCGGGGCAGGGUGAGUCGACCCCUAAGGCGAGGCCGAAAGGCGUAGUCGAUGGGAAACAGGUUAAUAUUCCUGUACUUGGUGUUACUGCGAAGGGGGGACGGAGAAGGCUAUGUUGGCCGGGCGACGGUUGUCCCGGUUUAAGCGUGUAGGCUGAUUUUCCAGGCAAAUCCGGAAAAUCAAGGCUGAGGCGUGAUGACGAGGCACUACGGUGCUGAAGCAACAAAUGCCCUGCUUCCAGGAAAAGCCUCUAAGCAUCAGGUAACAUCAAAUCGUACCCCAAACCGACACAGGUGGUCAGGUAGAGAAUACCAAGGCGCUUGAGAGAACUCGGGUGAAGGAACUAGGCAAAAUGGUGCCGUAACUUCGGGAGAAGGCACGCUGAUAUGUAGGUGAAGCGACUUGCUCGUGGAGCUGAAAUCAGUCGAAGAUACCAGCUGGCUGCAACUGUUUAUUAAAAACACAGCACUGUGCAAACACGAAAGUGGACGUAUACGGUGUGACGCCUGCCCGGUGCCGGAAGGUUAAUUGAUGGGGUUAGCGGUAACGCGAAGCUCUUGAUCGAAGCCCCGGUAAACGGCGGCCGUAACUAUAACGGUCCUAAGGUAGCGAAAUUCCUUGUCGGGUAAGUUCCGACCUGCACGAAUGGCGUAAUGAUGGCCAGGCUGUCUCCACCCGAGACUCAGUGAAAUUGAACUCGCUGUGAAGAUGCAGUGUACCCGCGGCAAGACGGAAAGACCCCGUGAACCUUUACUAUAGCUUGACACUGAACAUUGAGCCUUGAUGUGUAGGAUAGGUGGGAGGCUUUGAAGUGUGGACGCCAGUCUGCAUGGAGCCGACCUUGAAAUACCACCCUUUAAUGUUUGAUGUUCUAACGUUGGCCCGUUAUCCGGGUUGCGGACAGUGUCUGGUGGGUAGUUUGACUGGGGCGGUCUCCUCCUAAAGAGUAACGGAGGAGCACGAAGGUUGGCUAAUCCUGGUCGGACAUCAGGAGGUUAGUGCAAUGGCAUAAGCCAGCUUGACUGCGAGCGUGACGGCGCGAGCAGGUGCGAAAGCAGGUCAUAGUGAUCCGGUGGUUCUGAAUGGAAGGGCCAUCGCUCAACGGAUAAAAGGUACUCCGGGGAUAACAGGCUGAUACCGCCCAAGAGUUCAUAUCGACGGCGGUGUUUGGCACCUCGAUGUCGGCUCAUCACAUCCUGGGGCUGAAGUAGGUCCCAAGGGUAUGGCUGUUCGCCAUUUAAAGUGGUACGCGAGCUGGGUUUAGAACGUCGUGAGACAGUUCGGUCCCUAUCUGCCGUGGGCGCUGGAGAACUGAGGGGGGCUGCUCCUAGUACGAGAGGACCGGAGUGGACGCAUCACUGGUGUUCGGGUUGUCAUGCCAAUGGCACUGCCCGGUAGCUAAAUGCGGAAGAGAUAAGUGCUGAAAGCAUCUAAGCACGAAACUUGCCCCGAGAUGAGUUCUCCCUGACUCCUUGAGAGUCCUGAAGGAACGUUGAAGACGACGACGUUGAUAGGCCGGGUGUGUAAGCGCAGCGAUGCGUUGAGCUAACCGGUACUAAUGAACCGUGAGGCUUAACCUUACAACGCCGAAG
rnacentral:rRNA from 2 species